rnacentral:tRNA from 1 species
AGAGAUUUAGGUUAAUACAACUAAACCCAGAGCCUUCAAAACUCUAGAUGGGGGUUAAAAUCUCCCAACCUCUG